UACGUAGGGUGCAAGCGUUGUCCGGAAUUAUUGGGCGUAAAGAGCUCGUAGGCGGUUUGUCGCGUCUGCUGUGAAAACUCGGGGCUCAACCCCGGACCUGCAGUGGGUACGGGCAGACUAGAGUGCGGUAGGGGAGACUGGAAUUCCUGGUGUAGCGGUGAAAUGCGCAGAUAUCAGGAGGAACACCGGUGGCGAAGGCGGGUCUCUGGGCCGUAACUGACGCUGAGGAGCGAAAGCGUGGGGAGCGAACAGG
rnacentral:rRNA from 1 species